rnacentral:rRNA from 1 species
UACGAAGGGUGCAAGCGUUAAUCGGAAUUACUGGGCGUAAAGCGUGCGUAGGCGGUGAGUUAAGUCUGUCGUGAAAUCCCCGGGCUCAACCUGGGAAUGGCGAUGGAUACUGGCUCGCUAGAGUGUGAUAGAGGAUGGUGGAAUUCCCGGUGUAGCGGUGAAAUGCGUAGAGAUCGGGAGGAACACCCGUGGCGAAGGCGGCCCCCUGGGUCGGCCCUGACGCUGAGGCGCGAAAGCGUGGGGAGCGAACGGG